rnacentral:rRNA from 1 species
GGGAGGGGGGGGCUAGCGUUGUUCGGAAUUAUUGGGCGUAAAGGGCGCGUAGGGCGGCUUGGUAAGUCAGACGUGAAAUCCCGCGGCUCAACCGCGGAACUGCGUUUGAAACUGUCGGGCUUGAGUCCCGGAGAGGGUAGCGGAAUUCCCAGUGUAGCGGUGAAAUGCGUAGAUACUGGGAGGAACACCAGUGGCGAAGGCGGCUACCUGGACGGGUACUGACUCUGAGGCGCGAAAGCGUGGGGAGCAAACAGGAUUAGAUACCCUGGUAGUCCACGCUGUAAACGAUGGGCACUUGUGUUGCGGGUAUCGACCCCUGCAGUGCCGAAGCUAACGCAUUAAGUGCCCCGCCUGGGGAGUACGGUCGCAAGGCUG